rnacentral:rRNA from 1 species
UACGAAGGGGGCUAGCGUUGCUCGGAAUCACUGGGCGUAAAGGGUGCGUAGGCGGGUCUUUAAGUCAGGGGUGAAAUCCUGGAGCUCAACUCCAGAACUGCCUUUGAUACUGAAGAUCUUGAGUUCGGGAGAGGUGAGUGGAACUGCGAGUGUAGAGGUGAAAUUCGUAGAUAUUCGCAAGAACACCAGUGGCGAAGGCGGCUCACUGGCCCGAUACUGACGCUGAGGCGCGAAAGCUAGGGGAGCAAACGGG